CACGUAGGGCGCAAGCGUUGUCCGGAAUCACUGGGCGUAAAGGGCGCGUAGGCGGCUUGGGAAGUCUGUGGUGAAAGCUCGUGGCUCAACUGCGAGUCGGCCAUAGAUACUCCUAAGCUCGAGUCGACUAGAGGCAGAUGGAAUUCCGGGUGUAGCGGUGGAAUGCGUAGAGAUCCGGAAGAACACCGGUGGCGAAGGCGGUCUGCUGGGGUCGAACUGACGCUGAGGCGCGACAGCGUGGGGAGCAAACAGG
rnacentral:rRNA from 1 species